CGUAGGGGGGCGAGCGUUGUCCGGAUUUAUUGGGCGUAAAGAGCUCGUAGGCGGUUCGGUAAGUCGGCUGUGAAAUCUCCACGCUCAACGUGGAGGCGUCAGUCGAAACUGCCGUGACUCGAGUCCGGUAGAGGAGUGUGGAAUUCCCGGUGUAGCGGUGAAAUGCGCAGAGAUCGGGAGGAACACCCGUAGCGAAGGCGGCACUCUGGGCCGGUACUGACGCUGAGGAGCGAAAGCGUGGGGAGCAAACAGGAUUAGAUACCCUGGUAGUCCACGCCGUAAACGUUGGGCACUAGGUGUGGGGCUCUAUCGACGGGUUCCGUGCCGUAGCUAACGCAUUAAGUGCCCGCCUGGGGAGUACGGCGCAAGGCU
rnacentral:rRNA from 1 species